CCUACGGGAGGCAGCAGUGAGGAAUAUUGGUCAAUGGACGAGAGUCUGAACCAGCCAAGUAGCGUGAAGGAUGACUGCCCUAUGGGUUGUAAACUUCUUUUAUAUGGGAAUAAAAUGUUCCACGUGUGGGAUUUUGUAUGUACCAUAUGAAUAAGGAUCGGCUAACUCCGUGCCAGCAGCCGCGGUAAUACGGAGGAUCCGAGCGUUAUCCGGAUUUAUUGGGUUGAAAGGGAGCGGAGGUGGAUUGUUAAGUCAGUUGUGAAAGUUUGCGGCUCAACCGUAAAAUUGCAGUUGAAACUGGCAGUCUUGAGUACAGUAGAGGUGGGCGGAAUUCGUGGUGUAGCGGUGAAAUGCUUAGAUAUCACGAAGAACUCCGAUUGCGAAGGCAGUUCACUGGACUGCAACUGACACUGAGGCUCGAAAGUGUGGGUAUCAAACAGGAUUAGAUACCCGUGUAGUC
rnacentral:rRNA from 1 species